GUCAUAGUUACUGCACCUCCACGAUUCUGUGAGGAUGAAAUGAAGAAAUACAUGGGCAGAGUCUGCACACAGGCAGGUGGAAGCAGAAGCAGCAGCAGAGGAGGCUGUCCAGGGGAGGCAGUGGCAUCAAGUAUAUUCCCAUUGUUGUGUGACCAUUACCACCAUCCAGCCACAGAGUAUUUUUCAUCUCCUCCUACCUGGAAAAAGCACUGCUUCAGGAGUUUGCAUGUCAUCCUUGCUCCGGGCAAUUUUCUCUGUAUCAUUUUCAAUGAUUACUUCAGCCCAAGGCUUCAUAUCCAGUUUGGGAAACCAAGCGUUUGUGAACUUUAAAAAGACAAAAGAGAAAACCAAUUUCAACUCAUAAGAACAAUCUGGAUGUGCAUCUGAGAAAAAAUAGUGAAGUGACAGAGCAGAAAGCAGAACCCAGUCUCUGCUGAGGGGAUGAUCCUCUCAGAGGUCAGAUCUCUCCACCGACGAGCUGGGUGAGCCCAGAUGCCGUCUCCCAAGUGAGCCUUCCGCCAGAAGAAGCUGCCUUCACUGUGCAGUGAAUGACCUUCGCACAUGGAUUCUGAGUCAUUUAAAAAAUUGAAUGCUAUUUUUAAGGAUACGAAGGGCUGGUCCUGAGGGAAAUUAAGUAGGUUCCUCCUUGUGUGUGAGAGGCCUGGAGGAAGCACCCAGACAGCUGUAUAGAAAAGAUCGGAACAACCUGAAAUACUAGUCACUCUAUUGGAUAACCUCCGGUUGACAUUUAGUCUGGCAAGAGGGCAGGGGAGUAUUGAAAGAGUGAGUUGUCAAAAGGGAAUUUGGGCAAAUGACAUCUGACAGGGACCAAGACCUUCCUAUUGCUCCUCAAAAGACGCCACAAGCGCACGGCCAGCUUCGGGGCCCCGGGGCUGUGCACAGGUCUGCACCUGGGCUCAGAGGCAGGCGACGUUGGUGGGAAGCAGGGCUUAGCAAAUGCUGCCUUCCAGCCACUGUUGCUGCCACCGAGCUGAGUCACAGCCCUGAAAGAAGCAUAGGGCUGACAAGGACCGGCAUCAGAGCAGACCUGGUCGCCAGCAGUGACUCAGGGACAGUGGCCCCCAGGGAAGCCUGGGACAGCACAGCUGCCAUUUCCUCUUUGUUCUGCAUUAGUGGAGGUGACUUUGACGGAGUAUGUGUUCAGGGAGAAUGGAACAUCAUCAGUAAGCCCAGGUUCUAAUGACGCUCUCUGGGACAGGUUAUCAAAUGGCAACAUCAGGCUUCCUAAGGAAGGAAGUCAGGAUCAGAGGAGAACAUGGGUCCCCAGAGCCAGCACUCCACUUGCCAGCCAAAAUAAAUGUUCUUUAUUUCUGGGGUCAGCUUUUCCUAAGGGUUUGUAUCCUAUUUAGAAAUGCAUUGCAGUGAUGUCCCAAGCAAGAGACGAUUAGCAUCAAGAAGUCUUGCAACUAGGCCACCUGGACACUUGGUUUCUUUGAGGUGGGACAAUCUUUUAUUUUCAGAAGUCAGAAAAAUCAGCAUAUGGCUGGGACAUCUGGUUGCCACUAUGGAGUCCUGGAAAAGGCAGCCAAUGGUGACAAGCCCUUCCCUGCAAUUAGGAUCGGGUCUCUGCCAAGGAGCAGCUUUCCCUUCUUGAACAUCUCUUGUCAAGAGCUGUUCCCCCAAGUAAGCUGCUCACAGGCAUCAUAAGAAUAGUGUCUGGGGCACCUGGGUGGCUUAGUGGUUGAGCCUGCCCUUGGCCCAAGUCAUGAUUCCGGGGUCCCAGGAUGGAGUCUCUCAUCGGGCUCCCCACAGGGAGCCUGCUUCUCCCUCUGCCUAUG